GGCGAGUGAAGCGGCAACAGCUCAAAUUUGAAAUCUGGCCCUAGGCCCGAGUUGUAAUUUGUAGAGGAUGCUUUUGGUGCGGUACUUUCCGAGUUCCCUGGAACGGGACGCCUUAGAGGGUGAGAGCCCCGUACGGUUGGAUACCUAGCCUCUGUAAAGCUCCUUCGACGAGUCGAGUAGUUUGGGAAUGCUGCUCAAAAUGGGAGGUAAAUUUCUUCUAAAGCUAAAUACCGGCCAGAGACCGAUAGCGCACAAGUAGAGUGAUCGAAAGAUGAAAAGCACUUUGAAAAGAGGGUUAAAUAGCACGUGAAAUUGUUGAAAGGGAAGGACUUAUGACCAGACUUUUUCUAGGCGGAUCAUCCGGUGUUCUCACCGGUGCACUUCGCCUAGUUAAGGCCAGCAUCGGUUUUCGUAGAGGGAUAAAAGCAGCAGGAAUGUGGCUCCCUCGGGAGUGUUAUAGCCUGUUGUAUAAUACCUUUAUGGGGACCGAGGUUCGCGCUUCGGCAAGGAUGCUGGCAUAAUGGUCAUCAGUCACCCGUCUUGAAACACGGACCAAGGAGUCGAACAUUUAUGCGAGUGUUUGGGUGUUAAACCCUCACGCGUAAUGAAAGUGAACGGAGGUGAGAGCCUUAGGGUGCAUCAUCGACCGAUCCUGAAGUCUUCGGAUGGAUUUGAGUAAGAGCAUAACUGUUCGGACCCGAAAGAUGGUGAACUAUGCGUGGAUAGGGUGAAGCCAGAGGAAACUCUGGUGGAGGCUCGCAGCGGUUCUGACGUGCAAAUCGAUCGUCAAAUCUGCGCAUGGGGGCGAAGACUAAUCGAACCAUCUAGUAGCUGGUUA
rnacentral:rRNA from 1 species